AUUGAACGCUAGCGGGAUGCCUUACACAUGCAAGUCGAACGGAGUGGCGAACGGGUGCGUAAUGUAUCGGAACGUGCCCAGUAGCGGGGGAUAACUACGCGAAAGCGUAGCUAAUACCGCAUACCAUUGGAGCGGCCGAUAUGGGAUUAGCUAGAGGGUGGGGGAACGGCUCACAAAGGCGACGAUCCGUAGCGGGUUUGAGAGGACGACCAGCCACACUGGGACUGAGACACGGCCCAGACUCCUACGGGAGGCAGCAGUGGGGAAUUUUGGACAAUGGGGGAAACCCUGCUCCAGCCAUCCCGCGUGUGCGAUGAGGGCCUUCGGGUUGUAAAGCACUUGUGGCAGGAAAGCGGUACCUGCAGAAUAAGCACCGGCUAACUACGUGCCAGCAGCCGCGGUAAUUC
rnacentral:rRNA from 1 species